rfam:Salmo salar isolate Sally breed double haploid chromosome ssa14, whole genome shotgun sequence.
UGCAUUCACUACUGUAAAUGCUCUGGAUAAGAGCGUCUGCUAAAUGACUAAAA